UGAGCCGGGCUGGGCCGGGCCGGGCCGAGGCAAGGCUCCCCGCUCCUGCCAGGCGGGCCGCGGCCUCGGCGAGUCCCGGGAGCGCCGGGCUCCGGGAGGGCGCAGGAAAGUUGGUAAAUAUACAACCGCUGACAAAAUACGUAAGAUGAAAACUUGACACCCAGGAAGCAUACAAGAAGUCUUUCUCUGAUUGUGAUGGGAUGAGAAUUGCUCUUGGGAGCUCUGAUAUGCGAGUGUUUCACUGCUGAGCCUCAUGGCCAGCCAGUCGUGGCUAUGCCUUGGAGACCUGCAGCUGGUCUAUGCAGUGCUAAAACAAAGGAAAGUAGCUGAUGCAGAACAGUGUGAUGGACAAGCCUGGGCUGGCUGUUUGAAUGGAGUGAGGCGCAAGAGGUGAAUGCCAGGCAAAUGUGCCAUCUUGGCAAGAACUUACGGAAUUAAGUUGAACUGCAUGUGGAAGAAGUUUUCUGGAAUCAACACAAGUCCUCAAGUCCCUGUUCCGUUACUAGGCUGGGGCAACUAGGGAUGUCAAGGUGAUAUACCUUGUUUCAUGCAAACAGCUUAUAGUUGAGCUUGUCUUUCAACCUCCUAUAUGUGUAAAGUGAUUUUUUGGGAAGGCUUCUCUGUGGAGACAUCUCUCUGGCUUAACCAUGAUCUACUAUUGGCCUGCAUUGCCUCUUGAGGCCUUCAUCACUCUUCAGUAGCUUGCUGCCAGGCCAUAAGAUGAGUUGUUUCCCUUUCUUUCUUUGCCCUGAAUGCAUGGUUCUGUUAAGGCAACUCAUAGAUCAAUGGCUAAAACCUGUUCUUCAGGCUCUUCAUCUCUGAACUUGCUGGAGGCUUUGAGACAGCUUGCAUGGCUCUGCCACAGCCCCUGUUCUGAGCUGCUGUGAUUCAUCAUGGCCUGGGAAGCAUGAGGGAAGCACCUUAGCACCCUGUGAAUUGCUGCAGCUAAGCUCUCCACUUUAAUCUGCCAUAUCCACCAGGAACAUUAAAAUAUUGCCAAAUUUU